GUACCACGUGGGCCAGGCGCCCCGCAGCCUGAUCCCUCGGCUGAGGCGGGGUCAGAGGGCUAAGGGUGACUGACUGCCCAGUGCAUGGAUCUCAGCAGCACGGCUUGACUUUCGGGCGGCAGGCAAGGAUGCUAAUCCACAAGGUUCCUGAGUCCAACAUCCCUCCCUCCAAUGUGGGGCUCGAAUCCGCUAUUGCAACCAAACCCGGGUUCUGCCCGCAGGGUGGCGCAAUGACAAGAGCCACCAGGUGACCCUGGUAACUCCCGCACCUAGACCUACAGGAGCAGUUUUUCUGCAGCACCACAUCUGUAGCCCUGCAUGCCGCUGGCUCCAGUGUUGUGUGUGUGGUCAUGCUCCAUCCAGCCCAGCAGCAACUUUGGUGUUUGACACCCCUCGGGAGGCACCGCUUUGGAAGAGACUGGUAACAGCAGGGUGGGACCGGCUACUUAGCUGUUCUCAGUCUGAAAGGAUUCUGGAAAGGGGCUCUAUUUAACCCAAGCACUGGAGUCCAACACAGCCUCUGCCGUGUGACAGGGCCCUGGGUGGAGCUGACUUCCAACAGUAUACAGUGGGUCUUGGUACUUCCUCCUUGGCAUUCGACAGUUGGUGUUUUUGAAGUCAGAGCCAUCCUCAGUAGGCUCCUAGGGGAUCGUAAGCGGCUUUCUCUGGGUGGAAACCUACUCCAUGCAGCCUUCAGCAAAGGAUCCUACGGCUGUUGAUCCCCUCGGAAGUGAGACAUAAUGUCCCGGAGCAGAUGCUGAUGGGGACUCACUGUUGGGCCACCUGAUUUCUGUGUUCAUCUUCCCAGGCUCCACCUUUCAGAUCCCAUCCCUGGUGUCUGCAGUUACAACUUUACUAACCAGAACUUUGUUUCCAGCUUACGCUGAAAAGCAAAGGGUGACUUAGAAUAAAAAUGUAACAAAUAGCCCCAUAGCCCAAACCUUUUCUGCCAUGAUUUACUGUACCAGAUACCUAUAAGUGUCCAGGGCAAAUUAAACACAUCAAUAAAUGGCUUUCUUGUGUC
rnacentral:lncRNA from 1 species